rnacentral:rRNA from 1 species
AUGAGUGAGAACAUCUGCCCGAUCAUGUCGUGGAACGUCCACGGCCUAAACCAAUCGGCGAAACACGCUGCGAUCUGUGAGGUAGCUACAACGCAUAAAGUAGCAAUCUUGUGCUUACAGGAAACUAAGUUAGAUAUUUGGACACCCACCAUCGUCAGGGAAAUCGGUGGCACGGCUCUGACUGAAUGUGUCGUCCUCCCCGCGAUCGGCUCCCGCGGCGGAGCUGCUAUCUUCUGGAACAACGAGCUAGUCAGCAUUGCAUCACACGCUAUAGGGGAAUUCGCGAUUACUGCCAAAGUGACACUUCUCUGGCAAUUCAAAAGCUACUGGCUCACGACUGUUUACGGCCCAGUAGAUGACACUAGAAAAGCAGCCUUCCUCGACGAACUAGCUAGAACAGCUUCCUCACCAUCUGAUCCAUGGCUCAUUGAUGUCCACUACACAACCUUCUUCUUGUAG